UAGUCUUCCCAACAAUCCUGCAAGAUAUAGAACCUUGACAUGUUUCUCAGGCUGGUCUGAAACUCCUGGGGCUCAAGCGAUCCACCUGCCUCCACCUCUCAAAGUGCUGAGAUUACAGGGCCUAUGGUUCAUCCUGCAAUAUCAGAGAAUACACAACUGUUGGAAGCUCAUUUGUGCAGAAGCACUAGUUAGACCAAGUCCCAGGAUGGUGGGGACUUGAACUGCCUCAUGCACAUUGUACCCAAGAGCCUGGCCCAUGAAGGUGAAUCAGUGGAUACUUGAAUAAAAAGAAGAAUAUGCGCUGAA
ensembl:lncRNA LINC01989 long intergenic non-protein coding RNA 1989